GAUGAACGCUGGCGGCGUGCCUAAUACAUGCAAGUCGAGCGAACGGACGAGAAUCUUUCUUUGCUGAUGUUAGCGGCGGACGGGGGAGUAACACGUAGAUAACCUACCUAUAAGACUCGGAUAACUUCUGGAAACCGGAGCUAAUACCGAAUAAUAUUUUGAACCGCAUGGUUCAAACGUGAAAGACAGUCUUGCUGUCACUUCUAGAUGGAUCCGCGCUGCAUUAGCUAGUUGGUAAGGUAACGGCAUACCAAGGCAACGAGGCAUAGCCGACCUGAGAGGGUGAUAGGCCACGCCAGAACUGAGACACGGUCCCGACUCCUACGGGAGGCAGCAGUAGGGAAUCUUCCGCAAGGGGCGAAAGCCUGACGUAGCAACGCCGAGUGAGUGAUGAAGGUCUUCGGAUCGUAGUUCUCUGUUACUAGGGAAGAACAUAAGUGUAAGUAACUGUGAACAUCUUGACGGUACCUAAUCAGAAAGCAACGGCUAACUACGUG
rnacentral:rRNA from 1 species